rnacentral:precursor_RNA from 12 species
ACUACUUCUUUGGGCUUCCCUACUGGAGAGAAGGAAGGGCCUCACUUUCAAGCUUCUAUAUCCUUGUAGCUGCUAGGAGUUCCUUCCUUCUCCCUCCUGGAAGGGCUAUUGGCAACAGUUU